rnacentral:rRNA from 1 species
UUGAUCCUGGCUCAGAAUCAACGCUGGCGGCGUGCCUAACACAUGCAAGUCGAACGAGAAAGUGGAGCAAUCCAUGGGUAAAGUGGCGACCGGGUGAGUUACACGUGACUAACCUACCUUCGAGUGGGGGAUAACCUCGGGAAACCGGGUCUAAUACCGCAUAAUGCCUUCGGGUUAAAGGAGCAAUUCGCUUGAAGAGUGGGUCGCGGCUGAUUAGCUAGUUGGCGGGGUAACGGCCCACCAAGGCGAUGAUCGGUAGCCGGCCUGAGAGGGCGCACGGCCACACUGGAACUGAAACAUGGUCCAGACUCCUACGGGAGGCAGCAGUGGGGAAUUUUGCGCAAUGGGGUAAACCCUGACGCAGCAACGCCGCGUGGAGGAUGAAGUCCCUUGGGACGUUAACUCCUUUCGACCGGGACGAUAAUGACGGUACCGGUGGAAGAAGCCCCUGCUAACUCCGUGCCAGCAGCCGCGGUAAUU